AGUAGAAUAUAUAUAUAACAUAAUAACAAAAAGUAGACUCUGAACCAUCUCUUUGAGACGGUUCGAGUCCUAUUUUUGUUA